rnacentral:rRNA from 1 species
GACGAACGCUGGCGGCGUGCCUAAUACAUGCAAGUAGAACGCUGAAGGAGGAGCUUGCUUCUCUGGAUGAGUUGCGAACGGGUGAGUAACGCGUAGGUAACCUGCCUGGUAGCGGGGGAUAACUAUUGGAAACGAUAGCUAAUACCGCAUAAGAGUAGAUGUCGCAUGACAUUUGCUUAAAAGGUGCAAUUGCAUCACUACCAGAUGGACCUGCGUUGUAUUAGCUAGUUGGUGAGGUAACGGCUCACCAAGGCAACGAUACAUAGCCGACCUGAGAGGGUGAUCGGCCACACUGGGACUGAGACACGGCCCAGACUCCUACGGGAGGCAGCAGUAGGGAAUCUUCGGCAAUGGACGGAAGUCUGACCGAGCAACGCCGCGUGAGUGAAGAAGGUUUUCGGAUCGUAAAGCUCUGUUGCAAGAGAAGAACGAGUGUGAGAGUGGAAAGUUCACACUGUGACGGUAUCUUACCAGAAAGGGACGGCUAACUACGUG